UCGGUGAUAGAUUUUGUGAAUAUAUUAACUGUUCUAUUAUCACAUUUUUCCGGUAUGCACUUUCUAGAUUAGUAACAGUUGAAUUUACUUUCAGGGUUAUGGUGUUGUUCUUGUUAACACUGAUGAGGCAGGGACACUGUUAGUAACCAAUUAUCGACUUAUUUUUCUGAGUGAAGGAACUAGGAAUAUCAUUUCUCUUGGUA